rfam:Haloterrigena limicola JCM 13563 contig_10, whole genome shotgun sequence.
GCCGAAGGCCUCCUCGGUAAAGCAAGUCCUUGGUAAGGACGAGAGCCCGGGUUCAAAUCCCGGCCUAGGCU